rnacentral:rRNA from 1 species
AUUGAACGCUGGCGGCAGGCUUAACACAUGCAAGUCGAACGAGUGGCGGACGGGUGAGUAAUGUCUGGGAAACUGCCUAAUAGAGGGGGAUAACUACUGGAAACGGUAGCUAAUACCGCAUACCAUCAGAUGUGCCCAGAUGGGAUUAGCUAGUUGGUGGGGUAAAGGCUCACCUAGGCGACGAUCCCUAGCUGGUCUGAGAGGAAGACCAGCAAAACGGGAACUGAGACACUGUCCAGACUCCGACGCGAGGCAGCAGUGGGGAAUAUUGCACAAUGGGCGAAAGCCUGAUGCAGCCAUGCCGCGUGUGUGAAGAAGGCCUUCGGGUUGUAAAGCACUUUUAGCGAGGAGGCGUUACUCGCAGAAGAAGCACCGGCUAACUACGUGCCAGCAGCCGCGGUAAUAC